CCCCUGAAAGACUUUGAGUUAAUCUCUUAUAUUCUUGUUGGUCUUGGCUUUGACUAUGACCCACUGGUUACAUCUAUUACAACCCGCAUUGAUCCUGUCUCUUUAGAGGAUCUAUAUGGUCCUUUACUGACCCAUGAGC